AUCCUGGCGUUUGCCUACAGGAAGAUGGCGGCGGUCUCAAUGUCAGUGUCGCUGAGACAGGCGAUGUUGGGGCGAAGGGCAAUGGCUACAGCUGCCGUUUCCGUCUGUAGAGUUCCAUCCAGGUAACAUAACUGUCAGCCUUGUCGAGCUAUUCAUUCAGGGUUCCCAGGUCGCUCCACUUUGGGGGAGGCUGGGCCGGCUGGGCCCCGGAGGCGGCCUUGGGAACGCGUCCUCCCUUGACCCUUCCUCGGGAUGCGGGGACCGACGCUGGUUUCCGGCGAGGCGCCUGCGGGGCCUGGGGUUCUGCAGCUGCGGACGGGCGAGGGUCUGUGCGGAGGAGCUGUGAACUGGAUCGUGGCUCCUGAGAAGGGGAGGAGUCUGGGCGACCUCUCUCCCAAUGUCCUACAUCCCUUCCGCUUGUCACCUGCUUGCCCCAUUCCAGCCUGAAAGGGUAAAUCCCUGCUAUCCUUUCCCUGGCUUUAGUUAAUAUCGGCUGGGCUUCCAAACAGAAAGGUUGUUGUAUUCAUCAUUGUGCAUAAGAGGAAAACUUCUCAGGACUUCAGAGUUUAUAGCAAUAUCCAUCGGAAGGUUACAGCGUACCUGUUUUUUGUCUUUCUAACCAGUGCGUUCCAGUCUUAAGUUCCACCACGGAGCUACGCUCUCAGGCAGCAAGGUGGCUUUUAUUUUGAUUUGUUUACUUCGUUUGUUUGUUUGAGACAGAUCACACUAUGUAGCCCUAGAUGCCGGAAGGUUUCUUGUGGUGACUGCCCCCUCCCUUCCCCCCCGCCCCCCUCCGCAGCAUUGCUCUAUUUUACGUAGUCUCUGUUUUCCUGGGUGUAUAAGAUACUGGGUUUUAUCACUUGUUUCGAAGUUUGCUCCUGUGAAGAGUGGCCUUGUAUUGACAGCUGCAUGCUGUGGAGACUACAUUCAAUGUUCACAGUGAGGAUGGGUCUGUAAGGGGUGGGAAGAAUGUGGUAC
rnacentral:lncRNA from 1 species